UAGCUAGCUUCACUCACUUAACAUCUCUCCUCUAUUUAAAGGCUUCAAUUCAUUUCAGUGUGCAAUGCAACAUCCACAUAUAUAUCUACAGAAAAUAACACACAUACACUGCAUUCUACAAGCCAAGCAAAGGCCACAUAAAUAUAAUAAUUUAUUAAGAAAUAAUAAAGGAUAAUUAUUGAAGUAGUAGAGGCUUUUCCAUUCAGUGAUGUCUGGCCAGAGAAGCUCCACAACAGGUUCGAAGUUAACAGAGAAUGAGAUUAAUGAUCUUGUGUCAAGGUUGCAAGUACUUCUGCCACAUCUGAACCAAAGAACCAACUCAAAGCAUUCAAUGUCAAAGAUCUUGCAAGAAACUUGCAGUCACAUUAGGAGGCUGCAGAAAGAAGUGGAUGACCUUAGUGAAAGGCUAGCAUUGCUAAUGGAUUCUAUGGAUAUUAGUGACGUUGACAGAAGAGUUUUAGAAAACUUUUUGCAACAAUAACAAAUGAGUCCUUUUUCUACAUUCUAGGCCCCUAUGACCUCCUUGCCUAUUUCUAUAUGUCUCCUCUUUAUUGUUCCCACCUAUUUAGAUUGUAAUCUAAUAGGGGCUCCAACUAGCUUGUACUAAAAUAAGUUGUGUAAUGAUAAAGAAUAAAACUUCUUAAAAGGAAGAGCAAAUUCGCUAAAA